rnacentral:rRNA from 1 species
UACGUAGGGUGCAAGCGUUAAUCGGAAUUACUGGGCGUAAAGCGUGCGUAGGUGGUUCGUUAAGUCCGUUGUGAAAGCCCCGAGCUCAACUUGGGAAUUGCAGUGGAUACUGGCGAGCUAGAGUGCGGUAGAGGAAGGUGGAAUUCCCGGUGUAGCGGUGAAAUGCGUAGAGAUCGGGAGGAACACCAGUGGCGAAGGCGGCCUUCUGGACCAGCACUGACACUCAAGCACGAAAGCGUGGGGAGCAAACAGG